rnacentral:lncRNA from 1 species
UAAUACAUCACACAUAUUAUUGAGACCAACUAGCAACAUAGAAAGCACAAUAGUGUACCAACAAUGGCAGCCAAAAUAUUUUGCUUCCUUAUGCUCCUUGGUCUUUCUGCAAGUGCUGCUACCGCAACCAUUUUCCCACAAUGCUCACAAGCUCCUAUAGCUUCCUUUCUUCCCCCAUACCUCUCACCAGCGGUGUCUUCAGUAUGUGAAAACCCAAUUCUUCAACCCUACAGGAUCCAACAGGCAAUCGCAGCAGGCAUCUUACCUUUAUCACCCUUGUUCCUCCAACAACCGUCAGCCCUAUUACAGCAGUUACCUUUGGUGCAUUUGUUGGCACAAAACAUCAAGGCACAACAACUACAACAACUUGUGCUAGGAAACCUUGCUGCCUACUCUCAGCAACAGCAGUUUCUUCCAUUCAACCAACUGGCUGCAUUGAACUCUGCUGCUUAUUUGCAACAACAACUACCAUUCAGUCAGCUAGCUGCUGCCUACCCCCAGCAAUUUCUUCCAUUCAACCAACUGGCAGCAUUGAACUCUGCUGCUUAUUUACAACAGCAACAGCUACCACCAUUCAGCCAGCUAGCUGAUGUGAGCCCUGUUGCCUUCUUGACACAACAACAGUUGUUGCCGUUCUACCUGCACGCUGCGCCUAACGCUGGCACCCUCUUACAACUGCAACAAUUGCUGCCAUUCAACCAACUUGCUUUGACAAACCCAACAACGUUCUACCAACAACCCAUCAUUGGCGGUGCCCUCUUUUAGAUUGCUUAUGAGUUAUAGUUCAAUAAUGAAGUUUUUUGGAUGAUGUUUGUGGCUUCCCAGAAAUAAGAAAGUACAUUUCUAGAUUCUUAUGUGCUUCUAGCCUCCAAAUGUGGUUGAUAGUUAUUUUGCUCUAAGAUCGGGAGUAAUGAGGUAUAAAUCAUCGUUGUGGUGUGCUACUCGGUUAAUUAAGCAUUAACACACACAAACAUGACGAGGAUGGUAUGACCUCCAGGGCCAGUAACACGCCGGCACCAGCAAGAUAUCGUGUGAUGGUUAUUGGCGCGUGUUGUUUGUUCGACCCAUUGCUGCAACGCAGACCGCCGCUAACUACCAUCUCCAAGAGACUCCUUCAAUUAAGUCCUAAAAAUCAAAAUAGGACAUGGUUUAAAUUAUUUAAAACCCACCAAUUCGUUUUACUCCAACCGUGAGUCUGAGAGCACCUAGAGGGGGGGGGUCGAAUAGGUGAUCCUGUAAAACUUGAAAUUUAACUCACAAAACUUGAUUAGGAGUUAGCACAAAUAAUGCCAAGUGGCUAGAGAGGAGUCUCAACAAAACACAAUAACCACAAGAGAUCAAUCACAGAGAUGGCACAGUGGUUUAUCCCGUGGUUCGGCCAAGACCAACGCUUGCCUACUCCACGUUGUGGCGUCCCAACGGACGAGGGUUGCAAUCAACCCCUCUCAAGCGGUCCAAAGACCCACUUGAAUACCACGGUGUUUUGCUUGCUUUACUAUAUCCCGUUUGCGAGGAAUCUCCACACUUUGGAGCCUCUCGCCCUUACACUUAGAUGAUCACAAAGAAGCACAGAGUAAGGGAGGGAUAAGCAACUCACUCAAGACAAGAAAUCACAGCAACACCACGCACACAAGUCGCAACAAGAGCUCACAACACAACUCAAUGAGUUCACAACUCAACUAGAGCUCUAACUGCUAUCGCAAGGAAUCAAAAGCGCGGAAUCGAUGUCUUAGUGCUUAGGAAUGCUUAGAGAAUGCUUGGUGUAGUCCUCCAUGCGCCUAGGGGUCCCUUUUAUAGCCCCAAGGCAGCUAGGAGCCGUUGAGAGCAAUCCGGGAAGGCAAUUCUUGCCUUCUGUCGCCUGGCGCACCGGACAGUCCGGUGCACCACCGGACACUGUCCGGUGCGGAUUUCCUUCCUUAUUUGGCGAAGCCGACCGUUGGCAGCCUUGGAGCCGUUGGCGCACCGGACACUGUCCGGUGCACACCGGACAGUCUGGUGCCCCCUCCCGACCGUUGGCUCGGCCACGUGUCUCGCGCAGCCGACCGUUGGCCCGGCCGACCGUUGGCUCACCGGACAGUCCGGUGCACACCGGACAGUCCGAUGAAUUAUAGUCGUACGUCGUUAAUUUAUUCCCGAGAGUGACAAGUUCGCCUGUGCCAGCCUGGCACACCGGACACUGUCCGGUGCACCACCGGACAGUCUGGUGCACCCAGACAGAGCUGGCUUUGGCUGAACAAGGCUAUCUCUUUUCCAAUUCGAUUUCUCCUGUUUCCAGCACUUAGACACAAUAAAUUAGUCACUAAAACAAUGUACUAAGUCUAAGAAACAUACCUUUAUACUUGAUUUGUACUUUGUCCACCAUUUGACACUUAGGCACUUGUGUUGGACACUAGAUCACCAAAACACUUAGAAAUGGCCCAAGGGCACAUUUCCCUUUCAAUCUCCCCCUUUUUGGUGAUUAAUGCCAACACAACAUAAGGCAAGUAGAACAAGUACGAAAUCAAUUCAAAUAAGAACUCAAAUUUGUUUUGAAUCAAAUUUGGCAUAUAUGGAUCAUUCUUUGCCACCACUUGGUUUGUUUUUGCAAAUCAACCUCAAAUUCCUAUCUCUAAGUCAAAAACACUUGUUGAGACAUAACAAGAGUUGUUCCAAGAGAAAUUGAUCAGAGAUUUCAAAAACUCCCCCUUUUUCCCAUAAUUAAGCCUUCUCCCCACAAGAGACCAACUUUUGACAAUAAGAGGCAAACAAGAGUAUUUUGACAAACAAAAACUCUAACUCUAUUUUUUUAAAAUUCUCAAGUGGUAGCUGAUCUAUUUAUUGCUUUGGCCUUAUUUUCUCCCCCUUUGGCAUCAAGCACCAAAACGAGAUCAAUCUUGGCCCUCGAACCCCAUUGCCUCACCAAAAUCUUCAACUAAGAGUUAAAAAAAGGCAAUAAGAGUACAAAGAUGAACUUGGAAUAAGUUACUCGUUCAUCGGAGUGCAGUGGAAGUCUUGCAUAGUCCAAGUCCACCUUUUCCCUUUCAAUCCUCCUUUGAGACUAAAAUAAGCAAACUCACGCACAUGGUUAGUCUCAAAGGGUCAAGUUGUAGCACAUCUCCCCCUAAAUUUGUGCAUCACUUGCAAAUGAACUUGUAAGGUCCGGGGAGUGCUUGUACAACUUGAGCACCAUAAGUAAACAACAAAAUGCAUAAGGAACAUGAUCAAAGGCAUAAACACAUGUAUGCUAUAAAUCAAUCCAAGUUCCGCGAAUCUAAGACAUUUAGCUCACUACGCAACUUGCAAAAUGUCUGCUCAUCUAAAGGCUUGGUAAAGAUAUCGGCUAGCUGGUUCUCAGAGCUAACAUGAAACACUUCGAUAUCUCCCUUUUGCUGGUGGUCUCUCAAAAAGUGAUGCCAGAUGUCUAUGUGCUUUGUGCGGCUGUGUUCAACAGGAUUAUCCGCCAUGCGGAUAGCACUCUCAUUAUCACAUAGGAGUGGGACUUUGCUCAGAUUGUAGCCAAAGUCCCUGAGGGUUUGCCUCAUCCAAAGUAGUUGUGCGCAGCACUGUCCUGCAGCAACGUACUCGGCCUCAGCGGUGGAUAGGGCAACAGAGGUUUGUUUCUUAGAACUCCAUGACACCAGGGACCUUCCUAAGAAUUGGCACAUCCCCGAUGUACUCUUCCUAUCGACCUUACAUCCAGCAUAGUCGGAGUCUGAAUAUCCAAUCAAGUCAAAGGUAGACCCCUUUGGAUACCAAAUCCUGAAACAAGGUGUAGCGACUAAAUAUCUAAGAAUUCGCUUCACAGCCACUAAGUGACACUCCUUAGGAUCGGAUUGAAAUCUAGCACACAUGCAUACACUAAGCAUAAUAUUCGGUCUACUAGCACAUAAAUAAAGUAAAGACCCUAUCAUAGACCGGUAUGCCUUUUGAUCAACGAACUCACCUCCUUUGUUGAGGUCGGUGUGUCCGUCGGUUCCCAUUGGAGUCUUUGCGGGCUUGGCGUCCUUCAUCCCAAACCGCUUGAUCAAGUCUUGCUUGUACUUGGUUUGAGAGAUGAAGGUUCCAUCCUUGAGUUGCCUCACUUGGAAGCCAAGGAAGUAGAUUAACUCGCCCAUCAUCGACAUCUCGAAUUUCUGAGUCAUCACCCUGCUAAACUCUUCACAAGACUUUUGGUUAGUAGAACCAAAUAAUAUGUCAUCGACAUAAAUUUGGCACACAAAGAGAUCACCAUCACAAGUCUUAGUAAAAAGAGUUGGAUCGGCUUUCCCAACCUUGAAAGCAUUAGCAAUUAAAAAGUCUCUAAGGCAUUCAUACCAUGCUCUUGGGGCUUGCUUAAGUCCAUAGAGCGCCUUAGAGAGCUUACACACGUGGUCGGGGUACCGUUCAUCCUCGAAGCCAGGGGGUUGCUCCACGUACACCUCCUCCUUGAUUGGCCCGUUGAGGAAAGCACUCUUCACAUCCAUUUGGAACAACCUGAAAGAAUGGUGAGCGGCAUAUACUAGCAAAAUGCGAAUGGACUCUAGCCUAGCCACAGGAGCAAAAGUCUCCUCAAAGUCCAAACCUGCGACUUGGGCAUAACCUUUUGCCACAAGUCGUGCCUUGUUCCUUGUCACCACCCCGUGCUCGUCUUGUUUGUUGCGGAACACCCACUUGGUUCCCACAACAUUUUUCUUGGGACGAGGCACCAGUGUCCAAACUUCAUUUCUUUUGAAGUUGUUGAGCUCCUCCUACAUGGCCAACACCCAGUCCGGAUCUAGCAAGGCCUCUUCUACCCUGAAAGGCUCAAUAGAAGAGACAAAGGAGUAAUGCUCACAAAAAAUUAACUAAUCGAGAUCGAGUAGUUACUCCCUUGCUAAUAUCACCCAAAAUUUGGUCGACGGGAUGAUCCCUUUGAAUCAUCGCUCGAACUUGGGUUGGAGGUGCCGGUUGCGCUUCUUCCUCCAUUGCAAGAUCAUCUUGUGCUCCCCCUUGAUCACACGCCUCCUGCUCAUCAUCUUGAGUUGGGGGAUGCACCAUUGUUGAGGAAGAAGGUUGAUCUCGUUCAUCUUGUUCCUGUGGCCGCACAUCUCCAAUCGCCAUGGUGCGUAUUGCGGCCGUUGGAACUUCUUCUUCAUCUACAUCAUCAAAAUCAACAACUUGCUCUCUUGGAGAGCCAUUAGUCUCAUCAAAUACAACGUCGCUAGAGACUUCAACCAAACCCGAUGAUUUGUUGAAGACUCUAUACGCCUUUGUAUUUGAGUCAUAACCUAACAAAAAUCCUUCUACAGCUUUGGGAGCAAAUUUGGAAUUCCUACCCUUCUUCACUAGAAUGUAGCAUUUACUCCCAAAAACUCGAAAAUACGAAACAUUGGGUUUGUUACCGGUUAGUAGCUCAUAUGACGUCUUCUUGAGGAGGCGAUGAAGGUAGACCCUGUUGAUGGCGUGGCAAGCCGUGUUCACAGCUUUCGACCAAAAGCGCUCGGGGGUCUUAAACUCUCCAAGCAUCGUCCUCACCAUGUCUAUAAGCGUCUUGUUCUUCCUCUCUACCACACCAUUUUGCUGUGGUGUGUAGGGAGCGGAGAACCCAUGCUUGAUCCCUUCCUCCUCAAGGUACUCCUCCACUUGAAGGUUCUUGAACUCGGACCCAUUGUCGCUCCUUAUCUUUUUCACCUUGAGCUUAAACUCGUUUUGAGCUCUCCUUAGGAAGCGCUUGAGGGUCCCUUGGGUUUCAGAUUUAUCCUGCAAAAAGAAUACCCAAGUGAAGCGGGAAAAGUCAUCAACUAUAACAAGACCAUACUUACUUCCUCCUAUACUUAGAUAAGCGACGGGUCCAAAGAGGUCCAUGUGAAGCAUCUCCAAAGGUCUUGAUGUGGUCAUCACAUUUUUGGUGUGAUGAGAGCUUCCCACCUGUUUGCCUGCUUGACAAGCUGCACAAGGUCUAUCUUUUUCGAAUUGUACAUUAGUUAAACCUAUCACGUGUUCUCCCUUUAGAAGCUUGUGAAGGUUCUUCAUCCCCACAUGUGCUAAGCGGCGAUGCCACAGCCAGCCCAUGCUAGUCUUAGCAAUUAAGCAUGCAUCUAGACCGGCCUCCUCUUUUGCAAAAUCAACUAAGUAAAGUUUGUCGUCUAAUACACCCUUAAAAGCUAGUGAACCAUCACUUCUUCUAAAGACAGACACAUCUACAUUUGUGAAUAGACAAUUAUAUCCCAUAUUGCAUAAUUGACUAACAGAUAACAAAUUAUAUCCAAGAGACUCAACUAAAAACACAUUAGAUAUAGAGUGCUCGGAUGAAAUAGCAAUUUUACCUAACCCUUUUACCUUGCCUUGAUUCCCAUCACCGAAUAUUAUUGAAUCUUGGGAAUCCUUGUUUUUGACGUAGGAGGUGAACAUCUUUUUCUCCCCCGUCAUAUGGUUUGUGCAUCCGUUGUCGAUAAUCCAGCUUGAACCCCCGGAUGCAUAAACCUGCAUGGCAAAUUUAGGCUUGGGUCUUAGGUACCCAACUCAUGUUGGGUCCUACAAGGUUAGCACAAAUAUCCUUAGGGACCCAAAUGCAAGUUUUGUCUCCCUUGCAUUUUGCCCCUAAUUUUCUAGCAACUAUCUUCCUAUCCUUUCUACAAAUAGCAAAGGAAGCAUUUAAAGCAUGAUAUAUUGUAGAGGGUUCAUUAACUUUCCUAGGAACAUUAACAACAUUUCUCCUAGACAUAUGAACAAAAUAUCUCCUAGACAUAUCUCUACCAUGCAUAUAGGAAGAACUAGAAGCAAACAUGGCAUGAGAGUUAAAAGCAUCAUAAGCAUUACAACUCCUAUAAGACUGUCUUCUAUCAUGGUACAUAAAAGCAUGGUUCGUUUUAGCACUAUUUGCCAUAGGGGCCUUCCCUUUCUCCAUGAUGGAGAUGGGUGCCUUAUGGCUCGUUAAGUCCUUGGCUUCCCUCUUGAAGCCAAGUCCAUCCUUAAUUGAGGGGUGUCUACCAAUCAUGUAGGCAUCCCUUGCAAAUUUUAGUUUAUCAAAAUCACUCUUGCUAGUCUUAAGUUGGGCAUUAAGACUAGCCAAUUCAUCAUUCAGUUUGGAAAUUGAAACUAGGUGUUCACUACAAGCAUCAAUGUCAAAAUCUUUACACCUAUUGCAAAUCAUAACAUGUUCUACACAAGAGUUAGAUUUACUAGCUAUUUCUAACUUAGCAUUCAAACCAUCAUUUAUGCUCCUUAAGCUAGAAAUUGUCUCAUGGCAAGAAGAUAGUUCACAAGAAAGCAUUUCAUUUCUUUUAACUUCUAAAGCAUGAGAUUUUUGUGCCUCUACAAAUUUGUCAUGCUCUUCAUAUAAAAGGUCCUCUUGUUUUUCUAAAAGUCUAUCCUUUUCAUUCAAGGCAUCAAUCAAUUCAUUAAUCUUAUCUACUUUAGUUCUAUCCAAUCCCUUGAACAAACUAGAGUAAUCUAUUUCUUCAUCACUAGACUCAUCAUCACUAGAAGAAUCAUAAGUGGCAUUGUUUCGAUUACAUACCUUCUUCUCCUUCGCCAUGAGGCAUGUAUGACGCUCGUUGGGGAAGAGGGAUGACUUGUUGAAGGCGGUGGCGGCGAGUCCUUCAUUGUCGGAGUCGAAUGACGAACAAUCCGAGUCCCACUCCUUGCCAAGGUGUGCCUCGCCCUUAGCCUUUUUAUAUGCCUUCUUCUUCUCCCUCUUAUUCCCCUGUUCCUGGUCAGUAUCAUUAUUGGGGCAGUUAGCGAUAAAAUGACCAAUCUUACCACACUUGAAGCAUGAGCGCUUCCCCUUUGUCUUGGUCUUGCUUGGCUGCCCCUUGUGACCCUUUAGCGCUGUCUUGAAGCGCUUGAUGAUGAGAGCCAUCUCUUCAUCAUUUAGCCCUGCCGCCUCAACUUGUGCCACCUUGAUAGGUAGCGCCUCUUUGCUUCUUGUUGCCUUGAGAGCAAAGGGUUGAUGCUCAUUGAUUGGACCAUUCAAUGCGUCGUCCACGUAUCUCGCCUCCUUGAUCAUCAUUCGCCCGCUCACGAAUUUCCCAAGAACUUCCUCGGGCGACAUCUUGGUGUACCUAGGAUUUUCACGAAUAUUGUUCACCAGAUGUGGAUCAAGUACAGUAAAGGACCUUAGCAUUAGGCGAACGACGUCGUGGUCCGUCCAUCGCGUGCUUCCGUAGCUCCUUAUUUUGUUGAUGAGGGUCUUGAGCCGGUUGUAUGUUUGGGUUGGCUCCUCGCCCCUUAUCAUUGCAAAUCUCCCGAGCUCGCCCUCUACCAACUCCAUCUUGGUGAGCAAGGUGACGUCAUUCCCCUCAUGAGAGAUCUUGAGGGUGUCCCAGAUCUGCUUGGCAUUGUCCAAGCCGCUCACCUUAUGGUACUCGUCCCUGCACAAAGAGGCUAACAACACAGUAGUAGCUUGUGCAUUCUUAUGAAUCUGUUCAUUAAUGAAUAUAGGACUAUCCGAGCUAUCAAAUUUCAUUCCAUUCUCAACAAUCUCCCAUAUACUUGGAUGGAGAGAGAACAGAUGACUACGCAUUUUGUGACUCCAAAAUCCGUAGUCCUCCACAUCAAAGUGUGGAGGUUUGCCAAGAGGGAUGGAAAGCAAAUGUGCAUUUGAGCUAUGCGGAAUACGGGAGUAAUCGAAAGAAAAGUUCGAAUUAACCGUCUUUCGUUUGUCGUAGUCGUUGUCGUCGUUGUCCUUUUGGGAAGAAGUGGACUCAUCGCUGUCGUCGUAGUAGACAAUCUCCUUGAUGCGUCUUGUCUUCUUCUUCUUCCCAUCUUUGCAUUUGUGGCCCGAGCCCGAGUCGGUAGGCUUGUCAUCCUUGGGCUCAUUGACGAAGGACUCCUUCUCCUUAUCAUUGAUCACAAUCCCCUUGCCCUUAGGAUCCAUCUCUUCGGGCGGUUAGUCCUUUUCUUGAAGAGAACGGCUCCGAUACCAAUUGAGAGCACCUAGAGGGGGGUGAAUAGGUGAUCCUAUAAAACUUGAAAUUUAACUCACAAAACUUGAUUAGGAGUUAGCACAAAUAAUGCCAAGUGGCUAGAGAGGAGUCUCAACAAAACAUAAUAACCACAAGAGAUCAAUCACAGAGAUGGCACAGUGGUUUAUCCCGUGGUUCGGCCAAGACCAACGCUUGCCUACUCCACAUUGUGGCGUCCCAACGGACGAGGGUUGCAAUCAACCCCUCUCAAGCGGUCCAAAGACCCACUUGAAUACCACGGUGUUUUGCUUGCUUUACUAUAUCCCGUUUGCGAGGAAUCUCCACACUUUGGAGCCUCUCGCCCUUACACUUAGAUGAUCACAAAGAAGCACGAAGUAAGGGAAGGAUAAGCAACACACUCAAGACAAGAAAUCACAGCAACACCACGCACACAAGUCGCAACAAGAGCUCACAACACAACUCAAUGAGUUCACAACUCAACUAGAGCUCUAACUGCUAUCGCAAGGAAUCAAAAGCGCGGAAUCGAUGUCUUAGUGCUUAGGAAUGCUUAGAGAAUGCUUGGUGUAGUCCUCCAUGUGCCUAGGGGUCCCUUUUAUAGCCCCAAGGCAGCUAGGAGCCAUUGAGAGCAAUCCGGGAAGGCAAUUCUUGCCUUCUGUCGCCUGGCGCACCGGACAGUCCGGUGCACCACCGGACACUGUCCGGUGCGGAUUUCCUUCCUUAUUUGGCGAAGCCGACCGUUGGCAGCCUUGGAGCCGUUGGCGCACCGGACACUGUCCGGUGCACACCGGACAGUCCGGUGCCCCCUCCCGACCGUUGGCUCAGCCACGUGUCUCGCGCAGAUCGCGCAGCCGACCGUUGGCCCGGUUGACCGUUGGCUCACCGAACAGUCCGAUGAAUUAUAGUCGUACGCCGUUAAUUUAUUCCCAAGAGCGGCAAGUUCGCCUGUGCCAGCCUGGCACACCGGACACAGUCGGGUGCACCCAGACAGAGCUGACUUUGGCUGAACAAGGCCAUCUCUUUUCCAAUUCGAUUUCUCCUGUUUCCAGCACUAAGACACAAUACAUUAGUCACUAAAACAAUGUACUAAGUCUGAGAAACAUACCUUUAUACUUGAUUUGUACUUUGUCCACCAUUUGACACUUAGGCACUUGUGUUGGACACUAGAUCACCAAAACACUUAGAAAUGGCCCAACAACACAUUUCCCUUUCAGAGUCAUAUAAUCAUGUUACUUAGUUAAUUCUUCGCUUCACCGCAACAAUGUCGUCGUCGCUCUAUCAUCGUCCAUGUUCGGUCAGGUGAGGUGAGGUGAGGUGUAGUCUCUAAUAUACUUAAAGCACCAGUUUCAACGGUCGUCCUACGCCAUCUUUUUACAAAAAGUCCCUACAUUUCUUUUAAAUCAAUUCAGCGUAAAAUGUUAAAAAGCGGCGCCAGAGACAAUCUUUCACAUGAUCAUGUUGUCCUGCAGAUGGAGUAGUAGGCCUUCACGUGAUCAUGUUGUCCGAUAGAUAGGGUAGCGGGCCAGCGGUUGUUGGUUACUCUCCACCAACAAGAGAGAUAGGAAUCUAUUAGAAGCCAGAGCUCCAGCUUGCUAGUUCGAUUUGAUGGCAGCAACUAACAAGACAAUGACGCUCAGCAUGAUAUGAAGAUUGCCAUCGAUAGGAAGGAUCAUCACCUGCUGUUCGCGGAGGCGAGAAAGGAUGUGGUCGACUUCUUCUCCCUACUCGUCCUACUCGUCGGCGCGACCGUCAAACUGCUGGGGAAUAAGGGCAUGGCCGACAACACCUGACCAUUGAUCUCACAUGCCAUUUUAGCUCUCUCAUUCUCUAGUCUCACCCUGACUAUUUAGGUCUCCUGACUCGCUAAUAUAAACACCAUCCUAUCAUUUGAUCUCGAAUACUUCUUUGUCACAACUCAACUGUCAGAUGAGUACUCCAUUACAACACUUACGUACAAGAGUUCUAUGAGAGCAGGCCUCCGAAAUGAAUGUCGACUAAGUGUUUAUCUACUCAGAUGAAGGACGACAAUCGUGUUCUUCGAAAAUAUCAGCGACAUAACUCCUUACUUCCUCCGCUUCUUUCUAGUGUUUUUUGUUGUGAUUGAGUCGACACAACAACAACAUUGCACUAUUACAACCAGUACGACUAUAUCAACUAACAAUGUCUUCCUUAUAUGUUACUAUUUAUUUUGCUCAUAUUCAUUAUGUUUAAAUCACAUGUGCACCUUUCUAUUGACAUCAAAAAAAUAGUAUCAACUUUCUAGAUUAAAAUGCAACUAAAAGUACCUAAAUUUCUAUCGGUGGGGAUUGAGUGAUUCUUUAAACCGAUUAUUACAUAAGUUAACCACACUAAAAUUAACAUUGGUGAAUUGUGCCAUGAUUUUUUUCUAGUGCAAAAUAGCCAAACCAAGCAACACAUAUGUGGCUAUCGUUACACAUGUGUAAAGGUAUUGCAUCACACCAUUGUCACCCAUGUAUUUGGACAAUACCGAGAGGAAAACCCACUUAUUUAUUGUAUUUUAUCAAGUUUGUCUUGCUUACGUAUAAAUUAUAACCCAACAAAGUAGUCACUAAAUGUCAAAACCAACUAGAUACCAUGUCAUCUCUACCUUAUCUUACUAAUGUUCUUUUUGCAAAAUCCAAAAUUAAUCUUGCACAAGCACAAGGACUGAUAUGUGUAUAAAUAUCUCUUAGAUUAGUAGUUAAUACAUCGCACAUAUUAUUGAGACCAACUAGCAACAUAGAAAGCACAAUAGUGUACCAACAAUGGCAGCCAAAAUAUUUUGCUUCCUUAUGCUCCUUGGUCUUUCUGCAAGUGUUGCUACCGCAACCAUUUUCCCACAAUGCUCACAAGCUCCUAUAGCUUCCCUUCUUCCCCCAUACCUCUCACCAGCGGUGUCUUCAAUGUGUGAAAACCCAAUUGUUCAACCCUACAGGAUCCAACAGGCAAUCGCAACAGGCAUCUUACCAUUAUCACCCUUGUUCCUCCAACAACCGUCAGCCCUAUUACAGCAGUUACCUUUGGUCCAUUUGGUGGCACAAAACAUCAGGGCACAACAACUACAACAACUUGUGCUAGCAAACCUUGCUGCAUACUCUCAGCAACAUCAGUUUCUUCCAUUCAACCAACUGGCUGCAUUGAACUCUGCUGCUUAUUUGCAACAACAAUUACCAUUCAGCCAGCUAGUUGCUGCCUACCCCCAGCAAUUUCUUCCAUUCAACCAACUAGCAGCAUUGAACUCUGCUGCUUAUUUACAGCAGCAACAACUACUACCAUUCAGCCAGCUAGCUGAUGUGAGCCCUGCUGCCUUCUUGACACAACAACAGUUGUUGCCGUUCUACCUGCACGCUAUGCCUAACGCUGGCACCCUCUUACAACUGCAACAAUUGCUGCCAUUCAACCAACUUGCUUUGACAAACUCAACAGUGUUCUACCAACAACCCAUCAUUGGUGGUGCCCUCUUUUAGAUUGCUUAUGAGUUAUAGUUCAAUAAUGAAGUUUUUUGGAUGAUGUUUGUGGCGUCCCAGAAAUAAGAAAGUACAUUUCUAGAUUCUUAUGUGCUUCUAGUCUCCAAAUGUGGUCGAUAGUUAUUUUGCUCUAAGAUCGGGAGUAAUGAGGUAUAAAUCAUCGUUGUGGUGUGCUACUCGGUUAAUUAAGCAUUAACACACACAAACAUGACGAGGAUGGUAUAAUCUCCAAAAAUAUGUACUUUGUUAGGUGGGACCCUAUAGCCAUGCAGAAUGUGCUAUGUUAGGCUUGCCGAUGGAAACGUGUGACGCAUACGUUUUGUGAACCUGUUGAUAUUAUAUGUGCUUUUAUAUUAUCAUAUUUUAUUAAAA